rnacentral:rRNA from 1 species
GACGAACGCUGGCGGCGUGCUUAACACAUGCAAGUCGAACGGAAAGGCCCUUCUUUUGUUUUGUUCUCGAUUGGCUAUCGGGUGUUUAACACGUUAGUAUCCUGCCCUUUACUUUCGUAUAUCUUCAGGAACCUUGGUCUAAUACCCUAUAGGAGCUCCUGCUGCAUGUUGUGUGUUGUAUAUUUUCGGCGGUUGGUGAUGGACUCGCGGCUUAUCAGCUUGUUUGUUGGGUAGUGGCUUACCAAGGCUUUGACGGGUACCAGGCAUGAGAAGGUGACCGGCCAAAUUGGGACUGAGAUAGGGCCCAGAAUGCUACGGGAGGCAGCAGUGGGGAAUAUUGCACAAUGGGCGGAAGCAUGAUGCAGAAACGCCGCGUGCGGGAUGAAGGGCUGCGGGUUGUAAACAGAUAUAGCCUGAGAAGAAGAGUGAGUGACGGUAAUGGGUAAAGAAGCACCGGCUAACUACGUG